rnacentral:rRNA from 1 species
UACAGAGGUGGCAAGCGUUGUUCGGAAUUACUGGGCGUAAAGGGCGCGUAGGCGGUCUUGCAAGUCCCGUGUGAAAUCCCUCGGCUUAACCGAGGAACUGCGUCCGAUACUGAAAGGCUUGAAUCCGGGAGAGGGAUGUGGAAUUCCAGGUGUAGCGGUGAAAUGCGUAGAUAUCUGGAGGAACACCGGUGGCGAAGGCGGCAUCCUGGACCGGUAUUGACGCUGAGGCGCGAAAGCUAGGGGAGCAAACGGG